AGCAUGUAGUUCAGGAGGAGCUAUAAAAUGUUUGGUGAUAUAACUGGUUUAGUGUGAGGUUUCUGGUAUGGUGGUGUAUUUUGCUUCAAGGUGGCAGAACAGCAGUGUAUGAAUUAAAAGGUUGUAUGGCUGAAACAAGUGAAAGAAAUCUCCAUCCUGAUGCCAGUUAUUCCUACCUUAGUGGCAAUGUGGCUGUUUCCUAUUGUGUGGUUCUAGAGGAGGAGAACCUAUGCCAAGUGCACUUUGCUGCAAGUCCUCAGAUGACUAUGAUGUCCAUGGAAGACCAAGAAAAAGAUGUUGUUUUCCUAGGUUGGCGAUUGAAAAUUGUGUUCCCUUUCCAAAGGAACAUUCAUCUGGUGUCAUGUCAGAAGAUCUGAAAGGGAUUCGUGUAUUGUGUAUGAGGACUUAGUGGCUGCUAAAUCCUUCUCUGAAGGAGAAGUAACAAUACUGUGCUUUGAGGUGAGACUGAUGAAGGGGGAUGCAUGAAAUGAGUAGUCCUUCUGGAGUCUCUUCUAGACCAUGCAGUCCACAGAGUAUUACGCCAGUGGCAAUAGGAGCCUCACUGAGGACAGCUGGAACUGAACACUAUAUAUGUAAUCCUAAAAGAGUGUUUAAGGGAGAAUCACUCAUCACACCUGAAAAAUGAGGAUAGCUUGUUCUAUUGGUUUUGGCCAGCGAGCCGUGCAGCUGGGCACCACCAGUGCCUUCUCUCAUCUCUGCCUCAGAGGCACUGUUAAUCAGGAUUAUCUUUUUAUGGUUUGAACUGUGUCAUUGGUUCCUAGCCCAAAGACACUGGAGUAGUUUUUAAACCCCACUUAUUUCCUUUGGGAAUCUCCUAAUUGCACACAUGGUCCUUCUUAAAAAUGACAUUUAUUUGCAGAGCAUGCUGUUUUCUUCUGUCUGCUCACAACCCAUAUGUUGCAAAACAAGUAAUAAAAAAUGUUUUAGAAGGCUAUGACUUCCCAUGGGAAUAUGCCUGAAACUAGACUGUGCAGAAGUGCAUUUCUCCACUUGCGAUGAGCUGCUCUAUACUCCUCAGUUUGCAAAACUACCUUGUAGAUGUUUCCUGCUGGCUGCCAGCACCUGGACUUCUUCUUUGCUGGAAUUUUACGUUGCGGAUUUUUUUGCU